AUUGAACGCUGGCGGAAUGCUUUACACAUGCAAGUCGAACGGCAGCACGGGGGCAACCCUGGUGGCGAGUGGCGAACGGGUGAGUAAUACAUCGGAACGUGCCCAGUCGUGGGGGAUAACGUAGCGAAAGUUACGCUAAUACCGCAUACGAUCUACGGAUGAAAGCGGGGGACCGUAAGGCCUCGCGCGCUUGGAGCGGCCGAUGUCAGCUUAGGUAGUUGGUGAGGUAGAGGCUCACCAAGACGACGAUCUGUAGCUGGUCUGAGAGGACGACCGGGCAGACUGGGACUGAGGCGCGGCCAGACUCCUACGGGAGGCAGCAGUGGGGAAUUAUGGACAAUGGGAGCAAGCCUGAUCCAGCCAUUCCGCGUGCAGGACGAAGGCCUUCGGGUUGUAAACUGCUUUUGUACGGAACGAAAAGGCUCUGGUUAAUACCUGGGGCUCAUGACGGUACCGUAAGAAUAAGCACCGGCUAACUACGUGCCAGCCGCCGCAGUAA
rnacentral:rRNA from 1 species